GUAGUCUCGCACAGAUGCAUAUCAAUAAGCGGAGGAAAAGAAACUAACAAGGAUUCCCCUAGUAACGGCGAGUGAAGCGGGAAGAGCUCAAAUUUGAAAUCUUAAAGGGUUUCCCUUUACGAAUUGUAGUUUAAAGAAGUGUUUUCUGUUGAGGUUUUGGUAAAAGUUCUUUGGAAUAGGACAUCAUAGAGGGUGAGAAUCCCGUAUUUGACCUUUACUUUCAACUUUGUGAUACACUUUCAAAGAGUCGGAUUGUUUGGGAAUGCAGUCCAAAAUGGGUGGUAAAUUUCAUCUAAAGCUAAAUAUUGGCGAGAGACCGAUAGCGAACAAGUACCGUGAGGGAAAGAUGAAAAGAACUUUGAAAAGAGAGUUAAACAGUACGUGAAAUUGUCAAAAGGGAAGCGUUUGACACCAGUGUUGUUUUUCUGAAAAUCAAUUAAAGAACUGUUUAUGCUAAGUUGUUUAGACUUUAUCAGCUAUCUGCUUAGUUUUGAGCUUUUCUUUAAUGCACUUUUCAGUUAACAAGUCAACAUCAAUUUCUUUUGCUGUAAAAAAGCUUGAGGAAGGUGGCUUGAGAUUCGUCUUAAGUGUUUAUAGCCUCUUGCCUAUGCAGUCGGAGAGAUUGAGGUCUGCAGCGUAGAUCCUUCGGGGCUAAAUGCAUUUGUGCUAAGUUAUAGCAUUUUAUAGACAACUUGUUGACUACUGAUUUGUCUUGUAGGCUUACUCGCUUAUGUUAUUUUACCUACGCUUAGGAUGUUGACGCAUGAGAUAUACGC
rnacentral:rRNA from 1 species